AGGGACGUAGUUAAAUAUAAUACUUGAUUUGCAUUCAAGAGGUGUCUUAUUAGACCUUCCUUA
rnacentral:tRNA from 1 species